CCUGGAGCAAACUGCAGCACUUGGUCUGUGUUUUAGUUUCAGACACGUGUGGGGUGCAGCUAAUGAGCCCUUUCUCCUGCCCUUUGUCUCCUUACUCUUCUUAGAGAUGUUCUUUAGAGAAGGUCUGCAGAGAUUCUCUGGGGCACAUGGAAGUUUCAAUGGGAGGCCCAAAACACAGUAAGAUUGCUGCUGCACAAAGAGGAAAACAUCUCAGCCAGAAAAACUUCCUAGGCCAUGGCAGUAAAAUGGACAGAGAAGAGAGUCACCAGAAAGGAAGCGAGGAAACCAGAAACAAGACCACUGACACUUUGUUUCAUCCAAGGAAGUGGCAAAUCCUUUGACCUCCAAAAGGCAAACACCACCAGGAACUGCUCAGGGAACUUAGAAAGCUCAGCCUUCAAUCAAAUUGGCUUGAAACUGGCUAACUGAUUCAGAAGUUACUGGGAAGACACAAAGAAAUUCAGCAGUUGAGGUGUUCAGAGGCAGGAAGACAAUGAGACAAUUUGUAGCAAAUGACAGAUAAACCAUAAUUCUUAGAAAACAUAAUUGGAGUAACUUCAGUGACCUUUUCUAUACAAAGCUGAUCCUUUAUGUGGAAGACAUCUGUAUUUCCUUUGAGAAGAGCACCUGGAGGAAUUAAGCUCCUAUUUAAGAUACCUCAUCUGAAAGCCUAAAAAGUGAGCGCAUCCUGACCAGUGCAUCCUUUUGCCUUCACUGUGCAAACUUACUUUUCAUGUUUUUACAGAGUUAUUUUAGAUUUAUAUACAAAUAUGAAGUGCAAAAUGAAUGUAACCCAGCAUGUUUAUCCUAUUCAUAGUGUUGGAUGAGGCUCCGCUACAUCUAUGCUUCAGUAAAGAUUGUUAAUUUGGUAAAACUUUCAAGAUCAUGAAACACUGUCUGUGCACUGAGCCAAGCAGUCACAAAGCCUACAUCCCUUACAGAGCACAGCACAAGGGCAGGAUGGUGUUACAGCAGAAUACCACUGCACCAUUGUCAUACUUGCGCACUCCUUGCCAGGUAUCUGCCAGAAAGACCUGAGCCUGGGUUGCACUGACGUGUGUGCUGUCAUAGUUCAACCUGUGUUCUGUUUUGUUUUGGUUUUGUUUGUGGGUUGGUUUUUUUGUUUGUUUGUUUGUUUGUUUUGUUGUUGUUGUUUCAAUUUUUUUCUUUUGUUUGUUUUACAUUUUAAUGAAAGAAAAGCGUCCAAAUCUUCCAAUUCAAUUUAAAGAGUGGAUGAUAUGGGGUUGGAGGAAUACCCACAGCUAGACAUUGCUAAGGCUAUGAGGAUGUGAGGAGGAGAAAGGCCAAAAGCAAUGCUAGACAUAAGGGUGCCAUUUAAAACAUGUUGGUAUUAGACAACAGUCAUGAAGGGUAUCUCUUAGGCCAAGUCAUAUCUCUGUGCCAGGAGACGUUUACAUGAUACUUGUCAAGUUCCUUCAUCAGUUCUUGGAGUCAAUGCAGUUUCUUGGAAUCAGUGCAGUUUUAAGUUAUCCAGUGUAAAGAGAAUUUUCCUCUCUUUCUGGUGUAGUCUGGUGUAGCUCAGCAAACACUCCCACACUGCAUCUGGGGUAUCACUCCAUGCAUUCUUCCUCUCAGUCUCAUACUGCUGUAUGGGGAGGAGGAUUCAGCAGACAUUGGAGGUCAACUUCUUAUGGAACAACACAGUCACCACCAUUAACUAUGCAUUUUCACCAAAGGUGAACAAAAGCCUGCAUGUCGUGCUCAUCAUAAUCUGCACCAGCGGAGGUUAACCACUGUCAUCAGGGGACUAAUGUUUAGCCAGUGUAUCAAAAUCCAUAAACUUAUUUUCAAUAACCUGAGCUGGUACUGCACUGCCCUCUGUGCCCUGGUUUCAGCCCAGAUGGGGUUAAGAGCACACUGAUGAUCAGUUGGUGCUGAAGGCCAGGCCAGGCAGAGAAUAGCCACCCUGUGAUGGCACGAGUCAGGGGGCAGCCGCAGCAUGAGCUGUGCUGGGCUAAAUGUGGCCUGCAAGCCACAGCGUGGACAUGCCUGACUAAACAGACAAGGUACCCCUUUCCUCGUCUCUUUACCACUCUUCGCUGUCAGAUCAGAAACAAAAUACAUUAGUUGGUAGCCUGUGUUUUCCUAUCCUGAAAAGAAAUACAUUAGAAAAUGGAGUAAAAAGUAUGAGUAAAUGUUUCUCAUUGUGCUAUUUGUAUUCUGUCUUUUGCAGAGUAUAUUAUAAUGGAUAAAAGGAAUAUUACAUCACCAGAGGCAGAAAUUCAGUGCAUGGUUCACUGCAGAUUACAGAGCCUGAAAAAGCAAAACAAAGACAGUAAACAUGUUGCCUUUUGUUCAUACAACAUAACUAUAGCAGCAAUGACUAGUGGGAAAUUUCUCAACUAACCCUUCAAAUGUAUAUACAUUUUAUAAGCUUCUUGAAAAUUACAGUAAACUUGGAGAAUACUAUUUCUGCAAGCUUUUUGUACUUGAGUAACUCAACGACAGCAUCUUUAACAGAUUUUUACUGGCAUAUUAUAAAUGACGAAUAUAUAUUAUAUCAACACAAAUGCCAAGAAAAAACAACAACAGAAACAACACAGCCCUCCCACCCAAAUCACAUAAUAUAAAGGCAAAUAGCAUUGCUUCCUCCUCACCAGAACUCAGUUGCAUGAUGUGCUUACAGGAAUCAAGCAAAACAGUGAUGUUCAUAUAGUUCAUACAAUUUUGAGUAUCAUAGAUAUGAGCAAGCUGAUUCCAGCUGAGACAUAAACUAUAUUCCCAUGUUUCUGUAUUCACACUAGGCUGGGCAAUCUGAGUAUUACUGUUGUGAUAUUGAGUCUUCUCAAUCGUAGUAAAAUUUUAAGUUCAUUUUUUUCUAACUGGAAUUCCUUCUGAUUUUUGUUCUUAAUUGAAAGAAAGCUAAAGCCCCACAAAUAAUUCUUCUCUACCUAGGUUAAGGCACUUGUUUUUUUUAUCUCAUUACAGAUUUGUAAAAGUAAUUAUUAACACUGCUUUCCUGCUUCUGUUUUAGGAACUAAGAAUAAAUUCCUGCUUACCGUUACAGCAGGAGUGGAGAGAAAAGCAUAUUUAAAAUCAGGAAAUGUGGCUUGCUGAAUUAAUGAGCAACUCCUGGGAUUUUGGUUGGGCAAUCCAAGCCAAUAUCUAUGCUGGUUAAGAUCUUCACUGUCAAUGAAAACAGGAUUAUAUUUUGGAUUCACAGUCUGAACUAAAAACACCAAAGUAGAUGCCAGUGUGUUUGGAUCAGGCAAGUGUUCCUUCUUGGCACCCCCUUUUCUCCACUUUGAAAAUAAAUUUCAGUUUCAGUUUUAUACUAGACAAUUUCUUCGCUGCUACUCACCACAGUUUUCUGUUUCCUUAGAAAGGACAUAAUGCCCUGAGAUACACAGUCAUUGAUGACACCCUCUUUCCUGAACAUAAGCCUUAUGAUGUGCAAGAAUUUUUAACAGUAACCUCUGAAUUGGAAACAUAUUCAAAAAUAGAGACACAGAAUGAGAUUUUAUUGGAUCUCUACAAGGAAUACGAAAUCAUUCAGCAACAGUUUCAGAGGUGCCAAGUUAUGCAGCAUAAAUAGAUUAAUUCAAUUGUGUCUCUAUUGCUGUGAUUGUAGGAACCAAGUUAUCCUAAAUUAUGAACAAGCUUGAGUGACACAAUAGUUCAGUGUCCCCUGAGUCAUUUAGGACACCGACAAAGCACAGACAUCAUCAGACAUCAGUUUGGGUCCUGCUGAGUGCACUGUAGCAUUGAUGAGACCGCUACUUAGGACGCCAGCAACAUCCUCCCUUUUUCUUACCAGGGCUGGCCCCAGCACAGGAGCCUCCUCAUCCCUACAGGAAGAGAGCAAGGACAGCUGCUCUUCCUGGAGUUAGUUUGGAUCAUGCACGGCAGAAGCUCCACUGGGCCUGACACUUGUUAAGGAGAAUUUCCCUUCCUUGUCUGAUUAGCAAUUCCUGAAAUAGAAACAUAUACAUUUCCACAGAAAAAUAAUGUGAUCUCUCCAAAAUUCACUACUCCAGAAUGGUAGCAGGUAGAAAUAAAAGCAAUAGGUGGGACACUGCGCUUUAUCUAAUAAACCUGUCUGAGCCAAGAUUGCUGUAAGUUUUGGAUUAUGGAUCUGUGACCUGCAUAACUUGAUGUCAAUCAAAUGCAAGUUUAUCAUACAACUCCAACAUAAAAAUCGUUGAUGUUCAAGUAAGAACAACACAAGUGUACGGCAUUAGAAGUGUAUUAAGUAAAAAACAGGGAAAAAAUUAAAAUGGAAUUCUCUCCAAGAAGCAUUCUUUGAGUCGUCUCAAAUUACAGAAGAUGGAGGGCUCACCUUCCUCUACAUCUGUGUAGUUAAAUCUGUAGACUGUAAAUAUUCUCUCAGGUUGCUAAGUGAGUUUAUUUUGCACCGUUCCUGGCAUAAAACCAUUCACCAGCUUUUCUGUAAAGUCAUGUGCUUCAUGACUAGCAAUCCCCAAAGCCCAGAUUUUUGUAGCUGGAUUAUAGCCUGUUUGGCAAAUUAAUAUCCUGUGAUAUAGUUAUGAGGAAAAGCUGGACUGCCACAGACAGGCAAGUUUUCACCCUUUUGACCACCUCAGUCUCCAGCUUCCUGCUUACCAAAUAUGCUAUGUGUCUAGAGAUCUAUUCUCCUGUCAGCACCAGCAAAGCAGGGAUUAAGAGCUUUUUUUCAGUCAGUCUCCAUGGCAUCCUGUAUAUUUUGGAGAAAAUCUUUUGUCGUAGCAACUGAAAAGAGAGAGCCACAAAGGUGCUGUGAGUAUGGUGUGAUGCACUCAACCUUUUUGCUUGGUGCUUUCAUAUAUAUGGAAGACUUGGCCUUGUAACUGACAUUACAUUUCCUGAAUUAAUUUUGUUUCAUACUUCCUUUGAUUCCACAUGGUUAAGGCAUUCUGACCGCUGUUGUACUGUGAGCUGACAAGCUUUACAAAAUAACACUAGUCCUCAAAAACAUUUCUUGUGCAUCAACAGCUGAAUUACCUACUCUUUUCUGUACAGAGAUGCACUCUCUUAUACUCUAAGUAAUCUCUGAAAUAUCAUCUGAAUGCUGGAUAUCCUGAGUCAGUCUAUUACUCUAGUUUUAAGGAUUUCCACUCCGAGGAAUGAAAUGCCUUUGAAUUUUCCAAUUAUACUAAGACCACCUUUAGCAAAGGCUAGGUUAAGAUGAAAGAAAAAUGAAUAAUGUAUUUACCAAAUACAAAUAACAAAUUUGCAGAAGCUUUAGAAACAGAUGAGUGGAAGUGAAAACAGAAGCACGCACAUAUCUACAGCUUAGAUAAGCUCCAAAGGUUUCUCUUACCCUGCAGGAUGCAGCUGACAAGCUGAUUAGAUGCUUCAUGGCCUUGUCAGUCUCAUUCUAUGCAAAUCCUAUGUCCUUAACUUGCCUCACAGAAGUCUGAAUUUGCCAGCUUCUGCUCCUUUUUAAGCCCCCAACUUUUUUUUUUUUUUUUUUAGGGGUGGGGGGGAGGGGGCGUUGAUUAAAUGUGGCUUCAGCUUCAUCUUCUAUUCUUCAAGCAUUUUUUAUUGAUAGCUUCCAAUAAGAGGUAGUUUCAAAUUUCCUUCCCCGGAACUACUGGCUUUCUCCUUCUGCUUUGGAAAUUCUUAUAUUCCUUGGACAUGCCCAGACGAGGGCAUUGCUUUCUCCUAAACUCAGUGGAAUGUGCUAAUGACUGAGCCCUGCAAAGGGAAGUACUUCAUUAUUAUUCAAAUGCUGGAGCAGAGCCUUCACCAAAACCUUAUGUUUUCAUUUAAAUAUAUAGUUCUGCAGUUUUAUCACCAGAGUUAUCAUAGAGAAAUCAUUACUGGGUUUAAUUUGAAAGUAGAUAAAGUGGCAAGGUUCUGGAAUAUUGAUGGGUUUGAGGGAACACUAGGUCCUAAUCUUGUUAUUGAGCAGUACUAAGACUCAUUUAUUCUCUUCAUGUUAAAGCAAGGAGUGUCUGCAUUUUCCUCCUAUUCCUUUUCUUUGGUAACCUCAGUCUGCAAUUAUAAACUAUCUAUAAAUAAAAUAUUUGUUGAAAUAAAUAUGAGUCAUUAUCUCCCAGAUUUGAGAAUUCCUAUACAAACCUCCAUAAAUAUCUUGGUAGGUUUUCCAAUAGUCCUCGCUGCUUUUACACGAGACAUUCAGAGGAUACCUAAAUCUAAGUGAGAAGGAAAUUAUUCACCUAACUGUGAGGCCAAGAGAAUACGUGCUUUAUACAUAGCUAAAUAGAAAUGGCUGAUAUUAUAGUUAUAUAAUAUAUGUAUCAGCUUGCUGUAAAACAUAAGUGCUAAAGAAAAAGUUAACAUCAGAACCACCAAGCCAGCUGGAUGAUGAAAAAGCAGCUUCAGCCAACACCGGAUCCAGCAGAGCUGUUGAAAGAUCAGGUUGAGUUCAUAAUGAAGUCACCAGAUUAUAAUCUCUUUUAAACUUUGGAUAAGGUAUUUGGAUGGAUGAGGUAAAAGGAGGAAAUAUAACACAGAUUUUAAAAAUUUUGGGUGACAUCAUGGGCGGAAUGCUUACAUUGAAAAUUGAGUAUGUAAUAGAAUUAACAGUAGCAGAGUGUGUUGGGGAUUGAUUGGCUAUGUUAUCCACUCACUGUGUGUGGAAGAAAUACAAAUGCAGUAUGACUGAUCAGCCCCCUGAAUAAAUAAUGAGUUUCCAGUACUCUACUGGUGUAUUUCAUAGAUCUGUUUCUAUCAAGUUCAACUAUACAGAAGCAUCUGAGUUCAGAGAUGAUUACCGAAAAAGGAACAAGUAAUAUCAAGUUGGUUUUGUGGGUUUUUUUAGUCAAAUAUUGGACUUUCUAAAAUCCUGCAGAAAAUCGAGCACCUUUUCUGCCCCUUCUUGAUGCAGUAAUAUUUCUAGAAAAUAAUUUAAAAAACAAUAAUAAUAAACACAGUUCCUUGUGGCUGAAAACAUUUUGUCAGAAGUAAAAAUACCUCAGUUAAUAACAUAACAAAGUUUUGAAUGUCACCCAGUAAAAAGUACAAGGUGCCACAAGUGUCCUACGGAUAUCAAAUCCACUUAAAUAAUAAGGUAAAUGAAAAUUUAAUUAGACUUGAACCUCUGAAAAACACUAAUUUGUCAAGUCUUUUCACACAAGUGGGCCUGUGUGGGACUUGCCUUUGGGACACAAGUUACCAAGCAAUUAAAGUAAGUGCUGCGUAUCUUAAAUUCCCCUUGAUUUCAGGGAAAGAAAAGGCCAUAGGUAUAAAAAGACUCAAAGUACCUUGAUGCUACCCACUGGAAGUGCUCAACUGACUGUAGGAAUUCACCAUGGCCAGUGAGCAAAAAUAAGCAUUUCCCUUCUGUCAACACCUCAUUUGCUUCUCCCUUGAUUUUCCUGUGAUAAGGACUAAGCUCUCUUUUGGAAAUAAUUGUUGUUAAACACUUACGAAGUGUACGACAUACUGAAGAUGCCACUAUUCUGAUUAUCACUGUUCUUGCUCGCAAUAGUAGCUCAGAAGUAUUUCCAUAUUACAGCACUCUCCAUAGGCACCUCUGGAAUUCACACGCUUUCUGAUUCAGGCAACUAACAAACAUCUGUGUCAGCAGGAUGAGGAACAUUUGGAAAUGGGAAAAAUAAACUGUCCUGAAACUCAUCAAGAAAAUUCUGUGUCUUGAGCUUACAAGUUCUGUCAUUCACUAAAUGACCUCAUCUUCUCUGUACUACUUCUCCAAUGCUUUCUGCCUUCAGAUAGUAGUACUGCUGGGAGGAAGGGCAGCAGGAGGACUUCAGAGGGAUGGAAGUCCUAUUCCCAAACAGUCCUUCCUCUCACAUGCAUUACAAUUUCAACCUUAUGGAUGAAAUAUUUGCAUUUUACCACAUUUCUGUUAACAAUGUUAUUUACUAUCAUUAUCAAGAAAUAGUAACAGUAAUCCCUGUCUAGACAAUUUCCCUUGAUGUGACCUUUCAGUACAUUAAAAAAAAAAAAAAAAAAAAAAAUAUUUCUUUAUCUGGGGAAUGGUUUUCUUUCUAAUAGCUGAUGUCUUGCCUUUAGAAAUUGAUAUUUCAGAAAGAGAAUUUGUAGGCAUCUAGGUCUUAUAAUGUCUAGCGAUGAUGCACCUCAGCACUUAACAGCUUUACGCACUGUCUUACAUUUAAAGGCAUAAAGUGUGUCAUUACGAGACCACAAUGCACACCUCAUCACAUCUUAUUGCUUAAUAAGGUCAUCUAGUCUGCCCACCUCAUUACGUGCAAUGGCUAAUGUCAUAUUUCUACCAUUUUUCUAGAUAUAUUUUAAAAUUCCCAAGGGAAGGUGCUUUCAGAUCAGGAUUUCAGAUCAGGAGUUCACCCGUUCCCUAAUCAGUAUCUCCCAUCAAUACUUCUUAUAAAUAUAGAGGCCUCUUGUGCUUGCUUGCUUUAAGCACAUUGCUUUAUAUAUAUAUAAAAAUAUGUAUAUGCAGUGUUCAGGAAACAAGAUAUAUAUCUCAAGUUUACCCUAAACUCCAUAGCAAGCUGAUGCAUAAGAACACAGUUCUGUCUCAUACAUGCAAAAAUGUUAGACCCGCUUUGCAAAGAAGUUGCACUCCUACACAUAGGUGCACUCUUCAAAUCUACCACAGAGAGCCACAGUGGGAGCUGAAGGAGCAUAAUACUCAACCAUACAUGAUCCCUAAGUGAAAUGUAUAUUAAUCUUUAUGUGAAGAUUAGGAACAAGACAAAGUGGUGUACUAAAUUUGUGUCAGGUAUUAUUGCAAAUGUAUUAACUAGGCAAUAAAGUCACAUAUUUACAGUAAAAUGUGUAAUUUACUUAUUUGUGUUCAAAAAAAUCAAUGCAAACUUACUCUAUUAUUUAAUAACAUUAUUCCAGACCCAAACCUUUCAUUAUAUUAAAUAGCAUGGAACAGUGUUUUGACUGAAUGGAUUUUCUAAGUAUGCGAAUUGAACUGAAUCAAUUUUUGUAAUUUCAAGGCCAUUCACAGUGAAUACAGUUUAAAGAGUCCAAGGGAGCACUACAGCACAGGAGCACAUUCAUAGUGAAUUGCUUUGAAAUUGGCUGAAGGCUACUUCAUUUUCUUCAACUACAUUUUGAAAAGCUUGUUUCCAUGGGAUAAAUUUAAUUUCAGGUUGAACUGCUGAAUUGAUUAAACGUCUUAUUGCAUCUUGCUGUAACUUUAUUCUAAUUCCAAAGUUCUUUUUUUUCCAAAUAGUAAAAGUUAAAACAACCAUAUCUUUUUUACAACUAAAAUACCUACCUUCUCGUCAGAAACUUCUUCAGCUCUUGUCAACUAAUUUAAUUUUUUUUUCCCGAUUUUUAUGUUUUCAAUGGCCUUGAGUAGUCUUUUUGUCCUCUAUUUUCUGGCUGAACAUCAUCUCAACAAGAUGGCCAAAAAAGCUCUUGACAUUCUUUUUCCUGUAAAAUUAUAAUACUUUCAAUAGUGCAUUAUUAUGAGCAAUUGACAGGAAUGUGUCAUCAGGACUUGUUAGCAUGUUAGGAGGAGGAGAAGUGGAAAGAAGGCAAAGAAAGUUCCAAAAUAACAUUUUUAGGAUUGAGAGAAAGCAUUGGAGAGGGAGAAAAGCUGAUGGAGUAAUUUGUAAAUGUAAAUACAAAGGGGAAACAAAUUUUAAUAAACAUGGAACUGUGUAUAGACAGAAAGAAAAAUAAGUUGCUUUUUAAAAACAGAUGUAAAGUGAAUUUAGUGAUUCUAAACUUAAAACAUUAUCAGCUACCUUCUUUCCUCUCAUUUUGUAUUUCUUCCUGUAAUACUUUUUUCAG
ensembl:lncRNA